AGUGAACGCUGGCGGUAGGCCUAACACAUGCAAGUCGAACGGCAGCACAGUAAGAGCUUGCUCUUACGGGUGGCGAGUGGCGGACGGGUGAGGAAUACAUCGGAAUCUACUUUUUCGUGGGGGAUAACGUAGGGAAACUUACGCUAAUACCGCAUACGACCUACGGGUGAAAGCAGGGGAUCUUCGGACCUUGCGCGAUUGAACGAGCCGAUGUCGGAUUAGCUAGUUGGCGGGGUAAAGGCCCACCAAGGCGACGAUCCGUAGCUGGUCUGAGAGGAUGAGCAGCCACACUGGAACUGAGACACGGUCCAGACUCCUACGGGAGGCAGCAGUGGGGAAUAUUUGACAAUGCGCGCAAGCCUGAUCCAGCCAUACCGCGUGGGUGAAGAAGGCCUUCGGGUUGUAAAGCCCUUUUGUUGGGAAAGAAAAGCAGCAGGUUAAUACCCCGCUGUUCUGACGGUACCCAAAGAAUAAGCACCGGCUAACUUCGUG
rnacentral:rRNA from 1 species